rnacentral:rRNA from 1 species
AACGAACGCUGGCGGCGUGCCUAACACAUGCAAGUCGAACGGAAUUAGAGAGCUUGCUCUUUAAUUUAGUGGCGCACGGGUGAGUAACGCGUAGAUAAUCUGCCCGACGAUCUGGGAUAACAGUUCGAAAGGACUGCUAAUACCGGAUAAGCCCACGGAGUCUUUGGAUUCUGCGGGAAAAGGGGGGGACCUUCGGGCCUUCUGUCGUCGGAUGAGUCUGCGUACCAUUAGCUAGUUGGUAGGGUAAAGGCCUACCAAGGCUACGAUGGUUGGUGGGUCUGAGAGAAUGAUCAGCCACACUGGAACUGAGACACGGUCCAGACUCCUACGGGAGGCAGCAGUGGGGAAUUUUGCGCAAUGGGCGAAAGCCUGACGCAGCAACGCCGCGUGAGUGAGGAAGGCUUUCGGGUCGUAAAGCUCUGUCAGAGGGAAAGAAGUGUAUUGUGGCUAAUAUCCGCGAUACAUGACGGUACCCUCAAAGGAAGCACCGGCUAACUCCGUGCCAGCCGCCGCAGUAAAAC